UUCAUCCUACGGGGGGCAGCAGUGGGGGAUAUUGGACAAGGGGGGAAACCCUGAUACAGCGACGCCGCGUGAGUGAAGAAGUAUUUCGGUAUGUAAAGCUCUAUCAGCAGGGAAGAAAGAAAUGACGGUACCUGAGUAAGAAGCCCCGGCGAACUACGUGCCAGCAGCCGCGGUAAUACGUAGGGGGCAAGCGUUAUCCGGAAUUACUGGGUGUAAAGGGAGCGUAGACGGUUAAGCAAGUCUGGAGGGAAAGGCGGGGGCCCAACCCCCGGACUGCUCUGGAAACUGUGUAACUAGAGAGCAGG
rnacentral:rRNA from 1 species